rnacentral:rRNA from 1 species
UGAGGAAUAUUGGUCAAUGGGCGCGAGCCUGAACCAGCCAAGUCGCGUGAGGGAUGACGGCCCUACGGGUUGUAAACCUCUUUGUCGGGGAGCAAAUUCCGUUACGUGUAACGGAGUCGAGAGUACCCGAAGAAAAAGCAUCGGCUAACUCCGUGCC